ensembl:snoRNA Gm26175 predicted gene, 26175
CUCCAAAAUGUUGAGUUCAGUUCAGGGCAGUUUCCCUGUUCUGUUAAUUUAACUUUGGGACAUUAAAAUUGCCUGAGAAGACUAUUUAUAGACCUGUAGUCUACACAA